rnacentral:rRNA from 1 species
AACGAACGCUGGCGGCAGGCUUAACACAUGCAAGUCGAGCGCCCCGCAAGGGGAGCGGCAGACGGGUGAGUAACGCGUGGGAAUCUACCCAUCUCUACGGAAUAACGCAUGGAAACGUGUGCUAAUACCGUAUACGUCCUUCGGGAGAAAGAUUUAUCGGAGAUGGAUGAGCCCGCGUUGGAUUAGCUAGUGGGUGGGGUAAAGGCCUACCAAGGCGACGAUCCAUAGCUGGUCUGAGAGGAUGAUCAGCCACACUGGGACUGAGCACACGGCCCAGACUCCUACGGGAGGCAGCAGUGGGGAAUAUUGGACAAUGGGCGCAAGCCUGAUCCAGCCAUGCCGCGUGAGUGAUGAAGGCCCUAGGGUUGUAAAGCUCUUUCACCGGUGAAGAUAAUGACGGUAACCGGAGAAGAAGCCCCGGCUAACUUCGUGCCAGCAGCCGCAGUAACAC